rnacentral:rRNA from 1 species
CCAGACUCCUACGGGAGGCAGCAGUGAGGAAUAUUGGUCAAUGGUCGGGAGACUGAACCAGCCAAGCCGCGUGAGGGAUGAAGGUACAGCGUAUCGUAAACCUCUUUUGUCAGGGAACAAAGGCGGGGACUAGUCCCCGGAUGAGGGUACCUGAAGAAAAAGCAUCGGCUAACUCCGUGCCAGCAGCCGCGGUAAUACGGAGGAUGCGAGCGUUAUCCGGAUUUAUUGGGUUUAAAGGGUGCGUAGGCGGGCUUUUAAGUCAGCGGUAAAAAUUCGGGGCUCAACCCCGGCCGGCCGUUGAAACUGGGGGCCUUGAGUGGGCGAGAAGAAGGCGGAAUGCGUGGUGUAGCGGUGAAAUGCAUAGAUAUCGCGCAGAACUCCGAUUGCGAAGGCAGCAUGCCGGCUCCACACUGACGCUGAGGCACGAAAGCGUGGGUAUCGAACAGGAUUAGAUACCCCGGUAAC